rnacentral:rRNA from 1 species
UACGUAGGGCGCGAGCGUUGUCCGGAUUUAUUGGGCGUAAAGAGCUCGUAGGCGGCUUGUCGCGUCGACUGUGAAAACCCGCGGCUCAACUGCGGGCCUGCAGUCGAUACGGGCAGGCUAGAGUUCGGUAGGGGAGACUGGAAUUCCUGGUGUAGCGGUGAAAUGCGCAGAUAUCAGGAGGAACACCGGUGGCGAAGGCGGGUCUCUGGGCCGUAACUGACGCUGAGGAGCGAAAGCGUGGGGAGCGAACAGG